rnacentral:misc_RNA from 1 species
AAGUCGUAACAAGGUUUCCGUUGCGGAAGGAUCAUUAACACGUAUCCAACGUUAAACCCCCCUGUGAACCUUCAUUGUGCUCCCCCAUUCCGUUAGGACGCGGCAAUCCCUGGUAAAUCAUCGCCGAACAGUUUUGAUUCAGGGACCUCUGCAUGGAGUGCGAGGCAAGUGGCCUGGCAUUCGAAAGGGCGCAGUAACGAUCGCUAGAGGCCGACACGGCCGGCGACCUAUCACCUUUGCAUGAAAACGGCGCUUAAUUGUGCGGCCACCAAACUCGAACUGUUAACAAUGGAUAUCUUG